CUGCCAUGAUGAUACUCAUUGAGAUUAAUGAAAGCAACUAAUGCUUAAUGUUCUGUUGACAAGCUUGUCAACACUGAGCGGUUAGCUGAGCAG
rfam:Beta vulgaris subsp. vulgaris Bvchr6.sca005.con0158.1, whole genome shotgun sequence.